UACGUAGGGUGCAAGCGUUGUCCGGAAUUACUGGGCGUAAAGGGCUCGUAGGCGGCCAACUAAGUCCGACGUGAAAUCCCCAGGCUUAACCUAGGAACUGCGUCGGAUACUGGAUGGCUUGAAUUCGGGAGAGGGAUGCAGAAUUCCAGGUGUAGCGGUGAAAUGCGUAGAUAUCUGGAGGAAUACCGGUGGCGAAGGCGGCAUCCUGGACCGACAUUGACGCUGAUGAGCGAAAGCUAGGGGAGCAAACGGG
rnacentral:rRNA from 1 species